AGCGAACGCUGGCGGCAGGCCUAACACAUGCAAGUCGAACGAACCUUUCGGGGUUAGUGGCGGACGGGUGAGUAACACGUGGGAACGUGCCUUUAGGUUCGGAAUAACUCAGGGAAACUUGUGCUAAUACCGAAUGUGCCCUUCGGGGGAAAGAUUAAUCGCCUUUAGAGCGGCCCGCGUCUGAUUAGCUAGUUGGUUGAGGUAAUGGCCCACCAAGGCGACGAUCAGUAGCUGGUCUGAGAGGAUGAUCAGCCACAUUGGGACUGAGACACGGCCCAAACUCCUACGGGAGGCAGCAGUGGGGAAUCUUGCGCAAUGGGCGAAAGCCUGACGCAGCCAUGCCGCGUGAAUGAUGAAGGUCUUAGGAUUGUAAAAUUCUUUCACCGGGGACGAUAAUGACGGUACCCGGAGAAGAAGCCCCGGCUAACUUCGUG
rnacentral:rRNA from 1 species